rnacentral:rRNA from 1 species
AGUGAACGCUGGCGGUAGGCCUAACACAUGCAAGUCGAACGGCAGCACAGUAAGAGCUUGCUCUUACGGGUGGCGAGUGGCGGACGGGUGAGGAAUACAUCGGAAUCUACUUUUUCGUGGGGGAUAACGUAGGGAAACUUACGCUAAUACCGCAUACGACCUACGGGUGAAAGCAGGGGAUCUUCGGACCUUGCGCGAUUGAAUGAGCCGAUGUCGGAUUAGCUAGUUGGCGGGGUAAAGGCCCACCAAGGCGACGAUCCGUAGCUGGUCUGAGAGGAUGAUCAGCCACACUGGAACUGAGACACGGUCCAGACUCCUACGGGAGGCAGCAGUGGGGAAUAUUGGACAAUGGGCGCAAGCCUGAUCCAGCCAUACCGCGUGGGUGAAGAAGGCCUUCGGGUUGUAAAGCCCUUUUGUUGGGAAAGAAAAGCAGCAGGUUAAUACCCCGCUGUUCCAACGGUACCCAAAGAAUAAGCACCGGCUAACUUCGUG